AGGACGAACGCUGGCGGCGUGCUUAACACAUGCAAGUCGAGCGAGAGCCAGUUGAGGGGUAACCCUCGACUGGGGACAGCGGCGAACGGGUGCGUAACACGUGGGCAACCUGCCCCUGACACUGGGAUAACCCCGGGAAACCGGAGCUAAUACCGGAUACUCUCGGCCGAUCGACAUGGCUGGCCGAGGAAAGGUCCGCCGGUCAGGGAUGGGCCCGCGGCCUAUCAGCUUGUUGGUGGGGUAACGGCCUACCAAGGCGACGACGGGUAGCUGGUCUGAGAGGACGACCAGCCACACUGGAACUGAGAUACGGUCCAGACUCCUACGGGAGGCAGCAGUGGGGAAUAUUGCACAAUGGGCGAAAGCCUGAUGCAGCGACGCCGCGUGAGGGAUGAAGGCCUUCGGGUCGUAAACCUCUUUCGGCAGGGACGAAGCGAUCAGUGACGGUACCUGCAGAAGAAGCCCCGGCUAACGUACGUGCCAGCAGCCGC
rnacentral:rRNA from 1 species